CCUCCGAGGGCGUAGCGAGGGAAAUUGGCUAGGCCGUGGCAGGGCUAGGAGGGGCGUGGAGGACGCGGGGGCUCGCAGGGACGGGGCCGAGGCGUGCGCGCGGAGGCCAUGUUGGAGGCCAUGUGGGAGGCCAUGUUGGAGGCCAUGUUUGUUGUGAUGUGUUGAGGCGGGGAUUCGGUGCUCAAGUCCGCGCUCGAUGAGAGGCUGUCUUAAUGUAUUUGUUAAUUAUAUAUAAUUACUUCCUAGUGUAUGUGUGAAACUGACAAAAGGUGUAAAUAGAGAACGUGAAAAUACUGUAUACGAAAGAAAAGUGGACAUUGUGCUUCUAAGAAGCACUUGUAACUUGAUUUUUAAACCUGAAGAUAUUAAUAGAAUACCUGUUUAAUCCCAAGAGGACGACAAACUUCAUAAUAAGGGACCAAUCAAGGUAAGUUGUUGUUUUAUUGC